rnacentral:rRNA from 1 species
GAUGAACGCUAGCUACAGGCUUAACACAUGCAAGUCGAGGGGAAACGAUAUUGGAAGCUUGCUUCCGAUAGGCGUCGACCGGCGCACGGGUGAGUAACGCGUAUCCAACCUGCCCAUCACUUGGGAAUAACCUUGCGAAAGUAAGACUAAUACCCAAUGAUAUCUCUAGAAGACAUCUGAAAGGGAUUAAAGAUUUAUCGGUGAUGGAUGGGGAUGCGUCUGAUUAGCUAGUUGGUGAGGUAACGGCUCACCAAGGCGACGAUCAGUAGCCGGUCUGAGAGGAUGGACGGCCACAUUGGGACUGAGACACGGCCCAA